CAAUGGUGUACUCUUCGUGUCCUCGCCUCCUUCUUAAAAUCCAUUGGAUUUAUAAGCCAGAGGUCCCUCCCCUCUGACCUUCUCUAACAAUUGGUUUUGAGAAGGGGGCAGGGAGAGAAGAUGCGAGGAGUAUGCAAUUGAGAUUCUCCCAAAGACAUAGAGGUCCUUACUACAUCAGAAAAUGUCGCAGAAUAAAUCAAAUCAAAUCAAAUUCAAAUUUUAUUUGUCACAUACACAUGGUUAGCAGAUGUUAAUGCGAGUGUAGCGAAAUGCUUGUGCUUCUAGUUCUGACAAUGCAGUAAUAACCAACAAGUAAUCUCGCUAACAAUUCCAAAACUACUACCUUAUAGACACAAGUGUAAGGGGAUAAAGAAUAUAUACAUAAAGAUAUAUGAAUGAGUGAUGGUACAGAGCGGCAAUACUGCCACCAUGUGGUUUAUGGCUAAAACAACAUGUUAAGCCUUCAUCAAAUCAAAUAGUAUUUUAAUUGUCACAUGUUUCGUAAACAACAGAUGUAGACCAACAGUGAAAAGCUUACUUAUGGGUCGUUUCCAACAAUGCAGAGUUAAAUAUAAAAAAUACAAAUAAAUAUUGACAAAAGGAAUAAAAUACAUGGUGAAUAACAAGUAAAAAUAACAUGGCUAUAUACAGGAAGUAGAAAAUAACAUGGCUAUGCACGGGGAGUAGAAAAUAACAAGGUGGCUAUGCACAGGGAGUAGAAAAUAACAAGGUGGCUAUGCACAGGGAGUAGAAAAUAACAAGGUGGCUAUGCACAGGGAGUAGAAAAUAACAAGGUGGCUAUGCACAGGGAGUAGAAAAUAACAAGGUGGCUAUGCACAGGGAGUAGAAAAUAACAAGGUGGCUAUGCACAGGGAGUAGAAAAUAACAAGGUGGCUAUGCACAGGGAGUAGAAAAUAACAAGGUGGCUAUGCACAGGGAGUAGAAAAUAACAAGGUGGCUAUGCACAGGGAGUAGAAAAUAACAAGGUGGCUAUGCACAGGGAGUAGAAAAUAACAAGGUGGCUAUGCACAGGGAGUAGAAAAUAACAAGGUGGCUAUGCACAGGGAGUAGAAAAUAACAAGGUGGCUAUGCACAGGGAGUAGAAAAUAACAAGGUGGCUAUGCACAGGGAGUAGAAAAUAACAAGGUGGCUAUGCACAGGGAGUAGAAAAUAACACGGUGGUUAUGCACAGGGAGUAGAAAAUAACACGGUGGCUAUGCACAGGGAGUAGAAAAU